rnacentral:rRNA from 1 species
CACGUAGGGCGCAAGCGUUGUCCGGAAUUAUUGGGCGUAAAGAGCUCGUAGGCGGACUGUCACGUCUGCUGUGAAAAGCUGGGGCUUAACCCUGGCCUUGCAGUGGAUACGGGCAGACUAGAGGUAGGUAGGGGAGAAUGGAAUUCCUGGUGUAGCGGUGGAAUGCGCAGAUAUCAGGAGGAACACCGGUGGCGAAGGCGGGUCUCUGGGCCGAUACUGACGCUGAGGAGCGAAAGCGUGGGGAGCAAACAGG